rnacentral:rRNA from 1 species
UACGUAGGGCGCAAGCGUUGUCCGGAAUUAUUGGGCGUAAAGAGCUCGUAGGCGGUUUGUCGCGUCUGUCGUGAAAGCCCACGGCUUAACCGUGGGUCUGCGGUGGAUACGGGCAGACUAGAGGCAGGUAGGGGAGAAUGGAAUUCCCGGUGUAGCGGUGAAAUGCGCAGAUAUCGGGAGGAACACCGGUGGCGAAAGCAGCUCUCUGGGACGGUACUGACGCUGAGACGCGAAAGCGUGGGGAGCGAACAGG